GGAGAACAAAGGAGACGAUUCCUCUCCUGGCACCUCCUGCGGCAGAUCCUUCACUUGCCAUUCCAACGCUAAGGGGCAGAUCUCAAGCAAGGGGUGUGCAGCGGCUGGAGGAGGCAGGUGCUAGUCCAGAGUCAAAACAAAGCUUCCCGUGAUGUUGGAGCUACUCCUGGGAGGUCAAAGGCUGGUCUAGGGAUGGAGACUGGGGUGGAAAGUGGUCCAAGGGUGUUCCAGGCAGCAGACUACAUCAGUGAAGGUCUGUGGCUGCUGUGGGGAGCGCAAGGGGAGUCUUCUGAACGCCGGGCCCCCCAUUCGCAGGCUGUGCAGAACCUGAGAUGAAUUCUCUAGCCCCAGCUGCAGUAAGAGAUCUGGGGCAGUGGGGAGCCUUGCUCGCUACCAGCAGCAGCUUCGGCAAGGACAGGAGGUGGCGCUGUUGGCACAGACCUGCACCCUCGCAGCCCCUGGGGACCUGGAGGCCCGCGCCCGCGGAAAGGCUGCUUCUGACGUCAGCGAAGCUGAAGAGCCAGGGAAACCCACUUGCCAUGCAACUUCUCCUGCGUCGACAGCCGCGGCGCCCCAGUUCCAGGAGGCUUAGCUGGUUUGCAC